rnacentral:rRNA from 1 species
AUUGAACGCUGGCGGCAGGCCUAACACAUGCAAGUCGAGCGAGCGGCGGACGGGUGAGUAAUGUAUGGGGACUGCCCGAUAGAGGGGGAUAACUACUGGAAACGGUGGCUAAUACCGCAUACUAUCGGAUAACCCAUAUGGGAUUAGCUAGUAGGUGUGGUAAAGGCUCACCUAGGCGACGAUCUCUAGCUGGUCUGAGAGGAUGAUCAUCCACACUGGGACUGAGACACGGCCCAGACUCCUAGGGAGGCAGAAGUGGGGAAUAGUGCACAAUGGGGGCAAGCCUGAUGCAGACAUGCCGGGUGGAUGAAGAAGGCCUUAGGGUUGUAAAGUACUUUCAGAGGGAAGGCGUUACCCGAAGAAGAAGCAACGGCGAACUCCGUGCCAGCAGCCGCGGUAAUUC